AGUGAACGCUGGCGGCAGGCCUAACACAUGCAAGUCGAACGGCAGCACAGUAAGAGCUUGCUCUUACGGGUGGCGAGUGGCGGACGGGUGAGGAAUACAUCGGAAUCUACUUUUUCGUGGGGGAUAACGUAGGGAAACUUACGCUAAUACCGCAUACGAUCUACGGGUGAAAGCAGGGGAUCUUCGGACCUUGCGCGAUUGAAUGAGCCGAUGUCGGAUUAGCUAGUUGGCGGGGUAAAGGCCCACCAAGGCGACGAUCCGUAGCUGAUCUGAGAGGAUGGUCGGCCACACUGGAACUGAGACACGGUCCAGACUCCUACGGGAGGCAGCAGUGGGGAAUAUUGGGCAAUGGGCGCAAGCCUGAUCCAGCCAUACCGCGUGAGUGAAGAAGGCCUUCGGGUUGUAAAGCCCUUUUGUUGGGAAAGAAAAGCAGCAGGUUAAUACCCCGCUGUUCUGACGGUACCCAAAGAAUAAGCACCGGCUAACUUCGUG
rnacentral:rRNA from 1 species